GAUGAACGCUAGCGAUAGGCUUAACACAUGCAAGUCGAGGGGCAGCACAAGGUAGCUUGCUAUCUGGGUGGCGACCGGCGCACGGGUGCGUGACGCGUAUGCAACUUGCCCUAUACAGGAGGAUAACCCGUCGAAAGACGGACUAAUACUGCGUAUGCUCACAACUUGGCAUCAAGUGGUGAGGAACGAAAUUCGGUAUAGGAUAGGCAUGCGUCCCAUUAGCUUGUUGGUGAGGUAACGGCUCACCAAGGCAACGAUGGGUAGGGGAACUGAGAGGUUUAUCCCCCACACUGGUACUGAGACACGGACCAGACGCCUACGGGAGGCAGCAGUGAGGAAUAUUGGUCAAUGGGCGCGAGCCUGAACCAGCCAAGUCGCGUGAAGGAUGACUGGCUUAUGGAGUGUAAUCUUCUUUUAUACGGGAAUAACAAGAGUCACGGGUGACUCCCUGCAUGUACCGUAUGAAUAAGCAUCGGCUAACUCCGUG
rnacentral:rRNA from 1 species